AUUGAACGCUGGCGGCAUGCUUUACACAUGCAAGUCGAACGGCAGCGCGGGCUUCGGCCUGGCGGCGAGUGGCGAACGGGUGAGUAAUGCAUCGGAACGUGCCCAGUAGUGGGGGAUAGCCCGUCGAAAGCCGGAUUAAUACCGCAUACGACCUGAGGGUGAAAGCGGGGGACCGAAAGGCCUCGCGCUAUUGGAGCGGCCGAUGUCGGAUUAGCUAGUUGGUGGGGUAAGGGCUGACCAAGGCGACGAUCCGUAGCUGGUCUGAGAGGACGACCAGCCACACUGGGACUGAGACACGGCCCAGACUCCUACGGGAGGCAGCAGUGGGGAAUUUUGGACAAUGGGGGCAACCCUGAUCCAGCCAUGCCGCGUGCGGGAAGAAGGCCUUCGGGUUGUAAACCGCUUUUGUUCGGGAAGAAAUCCUCUGGGCUAAUACCCCGGGGGGAUGACGGUACCGGAAGAAUAAGCACCGGCUAACUACGUG
rnacentral:rRNA from 1 species